UUGGGCACUUUGGAUUCAACAUGUGUUGUACUGAUGUUUUCCAGUGCCUUGGUGAUUCAUACAACUUUCUGGGAUCUUUUGAUUAAUGGAGAAAAAGUCAUAAGAUCAGCAAGAAGAGAAACUAGAUUUUUGCCUCAACUCAACAUGUUAAGUAAUCACCUGACAUCUGCAAAAGACCACCUCUUGGCACCUGGCUACACAAGCUGAAAUGGGAAAACUCCUCGAGAAACCACACAAGAAUGGAACACUUGCUUAGAGACAUGAGAGUAGCCUAGAAUCUAAGAAUCUGUGCUUCCUUCUACAGUUGUCUUUGGAAGAAGAAUAGACAUUCAUGGCAGACCAAAGAUCACUCUCUGAAGGUGUUAUAUGAGAAAUCCACAUAGGAGCAACCCAAGAAAACCAUGCAGGUCAAUACUAGCCUGGAAAGACAGAAGGAAAACAUGCCAAGUGGAGCUCACCAGAAGGACAGUAGUCAGAGUUCAAGAGCCCAGCUUUAAAAGGCAUGUGUUCACUGAUGUGCUUUAAAAUCUGUAAUAAGCAGUAGUAUACUCUGGUAGUGAGGAAGAAUUGAGGCACUUGGAGAACUGGAAGACUAUUUGAAGACGAUGAUGAUACCUACUGAUCAUGUGAGUCAAGACAUUGGAGUCUUGUCUACAGAUUACAUGAAUGGCCUCCAAUGGUGAAGAUUUGAAUUUAAGGUUGCCAAGCAAGAAUUUCAGAAGGGGCCUCCUUGACUUUAGAAAAUAAAUGUGACACUGGCUCAAGCUGCCUUUCUAUCUAUCUGUCUUGGGUAGCCUCAGCAGUAUGCAUUAGCUUGGGGGAGGAGUAAGAAAAUAGGAGAUAGUUUUGUUCCUAUUUGAAUCAACCCAUUUAUGCCAGAGGCUGCAAAUUUUUUGUGUGAAAAAUAAGACCUUGGCAAUGACCUUGCACAGUAGGAUAUAAAUAACUCCCACAAGUGUAGUGUUCCAAUAAUGGAACACUAGGCAUACAUAGGUUAAGGUUCAUUAAUAUUUAACUGCUUUCCAGUGUCUGUAUCAGUAGGUAUCAUCAGCUUCUUCAAAUAGACUUCCAGUUCUCCAAGAGCCUCAGCUCCUCCUUACUACCAGUGUAUACUAUACUUUAUUACAGAUUUUAAAAUUAGAUUCUCCUGAUCACCUGGAAGUCAGAGGAAUCAGGGAAUGAGGACUUGCUUUUUCAAAUCCUCUUUCUUUUCCAGCAUUUCUGCUCUAGCUGCUGGAUUUCCAAGUUAGUCAUCUACAAGUUACACUUCUUUCUGUCACUUCAUCUCACAUGCAUUUUGUGGGCAUCUUAGUCUAUUUAUGCGGCUUUGUCCCCUGAUGUUUAAGGAAACUCUGCUUGAGGGUGUUGCUAAAGAAAAUUCCCAGCCAUAGCUCACAGGAAACAGGAGAGAAGGAAUCUUCAAAUCAUUGCCAAGGCCCAAUUUCAGGAUGGAUAAAGAGAAUAUUUUUCUGGUGUCAGUGACUUGGAUCUUCUGCCACUGAAAAGGUCACGAGCAAGGCUAGGAAGAUCUUAAGGUAAUUCUCAGGGUUGUGAAAAUCAAGUGAGCUACUAGAAGUAAACAUGCUUUAUAAAUUAUGAAAUAUUUCACAAAUGCAAGGGAGUAUUUAUGUCAGAGGCUGGAGGGCCUAAGAUUCACCUCUCCUCCCCUCCAUGUUCUGACUGAGAGAAUAGGUAUAAAGAUAACAGGCCAAAGGGAACAAGCAUAGACUUUGCUAUGUGUAGAGAAAAUGACCACAUCCCUAAAAAUGCAGAGUCUACUAAUGUCUGGAUUACAGAAUACAGCUUGGAACUGAGGUCAACAUGAAAUUUUUCUAAUAUGCUCCUGAAUCCAAGCCAUAGUAUCUCCCUGACAGGUUGACUCUGUCUGAGAAACAGGCUCCAAAUCCAUUUACCCAAUUAACUGUGGGUCUGGGAGUGGAAGGGAGCUCAAAACCUGUGGUACCCAGACAGCUCACAGCUAAAACCGGGACCCAUGGAUUACAUAAAGCCUUGACCAGUCAGUACACUCUUUCUCCUGGGAGGAGGGAAUUAGAUGAGAGAGAGGCCCCCAACAAUACCCAAGGGAAGAGAGGUCCGAAUUCCAAUGGAAAUGGGGUUGGGGGGGAUACAUUUCUUUAUUUCUCAAUACUUCCUGUGGGGAAUAAUGAUAUCAUAAUUUAAAUUUCCUGUGCAGAGCAAAGAAACUCAUAAUUAUUUUGGGUAACUAACUUCUCUGUUCCACCCUGGUCUUUCAGUUACCCUCCCUAUAUUUAGUUCACUGUGAGUAGUUAGGAACUGUGUUGUCAGCAAAAGCCCAAGUUCAGAAUCAAGGAUAAUAAAGGAGGUCAAGAAGCUCCCAAAGAAUGAGUUAAAGGCAAGAGAAGAAUGCAUUUCAACAAGUUGUUUGAGAGAGUUAUGCUUACUCAAUACAUAUCUGCUUACAGUAACAACAUAUAUUUAGAGUUAUUUCAAAACCUGAUUCUUGAAAUUCAUGUUAAAAAUAAUUUUGUUAUGGGUUAAAUUUAAUAGCUGUAACUCCUUUUUCCUAUUGAAAAAAUUCUUUUUGUAACAGAUUUUCUCAGGGAGGCAAUUAUCAUAUUGUAAAAGACACACUAUAAUUUUUCACCAAAUAUCUGCUAAGUAUCUGGCAUAUGCUACACAACAUGAGAUAUCCAGAAUUGAAUACGAUAUGAUGCAUCUUCUAAAGAGCCAAUAUGAGAGGCAAUGGAAGCAAUAAUAAUAUAAAAUGAGCUAGAUGUAUAGACUUAUAAUCAAACUGGAACUGAAUAUGUGCUCAGAAUGGGAUCCAUAUAUAGUAAUAGAGUGAUUACUAGUUUGAGGAGCAGGGGCAGGGAUGGGGAGAACUUUGGAAGGACAGAGAAACUCAGGAAAGACUUCAGGGAGGAGGUGGCAUUUUAACUGAGUCCUUGAAAAGUGGGUAUUAUUUAGACAAAGGAAAGACAAGAUGUAAUAGACAAAGGGAGUAGUGAGAGAAAGAUACUGGGUAGGUUGCAGAUUAGAAAGAGAGAAUAGCUAUUGUUGACUAGAUUAUAGUGCUUGCCAAAGGGAGCAAUGAUAAAGAGAAAGCUGAUUAGAGAUGAAAUAGCAGAGCUUUUCAUGGCAGGCAAGGGAUUUUGAACUCUGUUCUCCAUGGUAGUGGGCCUUUAUAACAAAGCCAUGAGCAAACUGCAGGAUGUCCUACCUGUUUGGUAUGUAUGAACCUUGGCUUUGUCUUCCAAAGAACUGGAGGUGGAAGGGAGGCUAUUUGGGAGGCUGUUCUAAUUUUCCAGCAGAAGUUGUAUUUGCCUGAGCUAGGAUGGUGGCUGUGGCAACUGCAAGGAGAGGAAGAAUGGCAAAUGUCUUGCUCAGAAAGAACCGAUGGCAUUUGAUAUACCUGAUGUUAACCUAGUGACAGCCAGGCCCACUUGCUUUAACAGAGAUUCCCCUCAUCUUUGUAACUGAUAAUUAAAAAAAAAAAAACAAGAAUAAAUUAAAAUCAUUUAGGUAAAUACCAGCUGUCUUCAAUCCACUGAUUUCCAAGCACUGCCCCAUUUUCAGAGCUCAACAACACCUGAGUAACUUGCCCAUGGGCUUCAAACUUGGCUCACCACGUCAGCUUGCUGUCCCUUUUUCAUUUCUUUAACACACAGAGCCACCAUGGACCAUUUCCUUUGCACAAAGGGUUCCAUAGCUAUGGAAUAGUUUGAAAAUCAUAACCCAUCCAACCUUUAUAGAUGAAGGAACUGGAAGGAUACUGCAAUUUCUGGA